GCUUGUCUCAAAGAUUAAGCCAUGCAUGUCUAAGUAUAAGCAAUUAUACGGCGAAACUGCGAAUGGCUCAUUAUAUAAGUUAUCGUUUAUUUGAUAGCACUUUACUACUUGGAUAACCGUGGUAAUUCUAGAGCUAAUACAUGCUAAAAAUCCCGACUUCGGAAGGGAUGUGUUUAUUAGAUUAAAAGCCAAUGCCCUCUGGGCUCUCUGGUGAAUCAUGAUAACCGCUCGAAUCGCAGGGCCUCGUGCCGGCGAUGGUUCAUUCAAAUUUCUUCCCUAUCAACUUUCGAUGUUUGGGUAUUGGCCAAACAUGGUUACAACGGGUAACGGAGGGUUAGGGCUCGACCCCGGAGAAGGAGCCUGAGAAACGGCUACUACAUCCAAGGAAGGCAGCAGGCGCGCAAAUUACCCAAUCCCGACACGGGGAGGUAGUGACAAUAAAUACUGAUACAGGGCUCUUUCGGGUCUUGUAAUUGGAAUGAGUACAAUUUAAAUCCCUUAACGAGGAACAAUUGGAGGGCAAGUCUGGUGCCAGCAGCCGCGGUAAUUCCAGCUCCAAUAGCGUAUAUUAAAGUUGUUGUGGUUAAAAAGCUCGUAGUUGACCUUGGGCCUGGCUGGCCGGUCCGCCUCACCGCGUGUACUGGUCCGGCCGGGCCUUUCCCUCUGUGGAACCCCAUGCCCUUCACUGGGCGUGGCGGGGAAACAGGACUUUUACUUUGAAAAAAUUAGAGUGCUCCAGGCAGGCCUAUGCUCGAAUACAUUAGCAUGGAAUAAUAGAAUAGGACGUGCGGUUCUAUUUUGUUGGUUUCUAGGACCGCCGUAAUGAUUAAUAGGGACAGUCGGGGGCAUCAGUAUUCAAUUGUCAGAGGUGAAAUUCUUGGAUCUAUUGAAGACUAACUACUGCGAAAGCAUUUGCCAAGGAUGUUUUCAUUAAUCAAGAACGAAAGUUAGGGGAUCGAAGACGAUCAGAUACCGUCGUAGUCCUGACCGUAAACUAUGCCGACUAGGGAUCGGACGAUGUUAUUUUUUGACUCGUUCGGCACCUUACGAGAAAUCAAAGUGCUUGGGCUCCAGGGGGAG
rnacentral:rRNA from 1 species